AAAAAAGUGCCUCAAAAAACUAC
rnacentral:rRNA from 3 species